rnacentral:tRNA from 1 species
GACUCCGUAGCUCAGUUGGUAGAGCAAUUGACUCUUAAUCAAUGGGUCGACGGUUCGAGCCCGUCCGGGGUCA